UACGUAGGGGGCAAGCGUUAUCCGGAUUUACUGGGUGUAAAGGGAGCGUAGACGGCAGAGCAAGUCUGAAGUGAAAGCCCGCGGCCCAACUGCGGGACUGCUUUGGAAACUGCCCGGCUAGAGUGCUGGAGAGGUAAGCGGAAUUCCUAGUGUAGCGGUGAAAUGCGUAGAUAUUAGGAGGAACACCAGUGGCGAAGGCGGUUUACUGGACAGUAACUGACGUUGAGGCUCGAAAGCGUGGGGAGCAAACAGG
rnacentral:rRNA from 1 species